CACACACACACUCUAGAUAUCUGCAUAUCUACAUCUGUGCAAUAUUUGUCUAUAGUGUAAGUUAUCAUGUUUAUUGUUAAUAAGUGUAUUGUGAAUAGUGUUUAUACUGUACAGCUAUAUGUGUCUUAUUUUAUAUUAUAUUUUAUUUUAUUACUCUUCUUGUAAAUAUUAUUCUUUGCACAUUGGUGGGAAUCUGCACCCACUUUUUUAACUCAUAUGUACACCUCUGUAACGUGAAAACAAAAAUCUUGACUCUUGAUCUUGAAUCUUGAAUCUUUAGAUUUGACGGUGGAGACUUUAGAUCUGAUGGUGGAGAUUUUAGAUAUAAUGGUAGACUUUUUAGAUCGGACGGUGGAGAUUUUAGAUUAGACGGUGGAGACUUUAGAUCUGAUGGUGGAGACUUUAGAUUGGACGGUGGAGACUUUAGAUCGGACCGUGGAGAUUUUAGAUCUGACAGUGGAGACUUUAGAUCUGAAAGUGGAGACAUUAGGUCUGUCUGUGGUGAUUUAAGGUCUGACAGUGGAGACAUUAAAUCUGAUGGUGGAGAUUUUAGAUCUGACGUUAGAGAACUUAGAUCAAACGGUGAAGACUUUAAAUAUAACUUGAAGAUUUUAGAUCUGACGGUAGAGAAUUUGGAUCUGAUGGUGAAGACUUUAGACCUGAUGGUGGAUACGGACACUUUAGAUCUGAUGGUCGGGAUUUUAGAUCUCAUGGUGAAGAUUUUACAUCUGAUGGUGGAGACAUUAGAUCUGAUUGUGGAUAUUUUAGAUCUGAUGGUGGAGACUUUAGAUCUAACGGUGGAAACUUUAGAUCUGACGGUUGAGAUUUUAGAUUUGAUGGUGGACAUUUUAAAUCUAAUGGUGGACUUUUUAGAUCGGACGGGGGAGAUUUUAGAUCAGACGGUGGAGAUUUUAGAUCUGGUGGUGGAGACUUUAGAUCUGAUGGUGGAGAUUUUAGAUCUGAUGGUGGAGACUUUAGAUCUGACGGUCGAGACUUUAGAUCUGAUAAAGGAGACUUUGGAUCUGAUGGUGGAGAUUGUAGAUCUGACAGUGGAGGUUUUAGAUCUGACAGUGGAGACUUUAGAUCUGAUGGUGGAGAUUUUAGAUCUGAUGGUGAAGACUUUAGAUCUGAUGUGGAGUCUUUAGAUC
rnacentral:lncRNA from 1 species